GACGAACGCUGGCGGCGUGCUUAACACAUGCAAGUCGAACGGAAAGGCCCUGCUUGCAGGGUCCUCGAGUGGCGAACGGGUGAGUAACACGUGGGUGAUCUGCCCUGCACUUCGGGAUAAGCCUGGGAAACUGGGUCUAAUACCGGAUAGGAGCCAUUUUUAGUGUGAUGGUUGGAAAGUUUUUUCGGUGUAGGAUGAGCUCGCGGCCUAUCAGCUUGUUGGUGGGGUAAUGGCCUACCAAGGCGGCGACGGGUAGCCGGCCUGAGAGGGUGGACGGCCACAUUGGGACUGAGAUACGGCCCAGACUCCUACGGGAGGCAGCAGUGGGGAAUAUUGCACAAUGGGCGCAAGCCUGAUGCAGCGACACCGCGUGGGGGAUGACGGCCUUCGGGUUGUAAACUCCUUUCGCUAGGGACGAAGCUUUUUGUGACGGUACCUAGAUAAGAAGCACCGGCUAACUACGUG
rnacentral:rRNA from 1 species